CGACAGUACAAUAAAUCCGCGUCUUCAGGAGAGCCGUACGCAGCCCAGGUUGGGAAGGUAGUGCUCAGCCGCCUGUGUCAUCAUACAUCACCCUCAGGUGUUGCUGGCCGUGCUCUGCAGAGUGACAGUGCUCUGAUUUGUCUUCUUUUUGCCACAGACUCCUCCAGACAUCACUGUCUCAUUGAAUGUAGCUGAUCUCCGGCCAUAUUUCCACUCUUCCUGCCACCUUCCAUUACUCGUACUGAGAUAAAUCUCCCCUCUUUGGCAGAAGAGUUGAAUAUACAGCCUCUGCGUCUGGCGCUGAUCAAUACCUCCUUGAGAUAAGCCCGCCAGCAAAGGGUAGACAAGGGCGAUAGGAUUAGCUCUCUGUAUGACUGCUUGUCAUAUGAAAGGAAGGGGUGUCUAGCCUCCGUGGUGUAACCCAUGAAAAUACUCCAUAUUUUAGUAGAAUAGGAAGAGAAGUUUGGCACCAUCAUGAUAUACACAUGCAAGAGAACGUCUCAGCUGCUGGUGUGCAAGCUGUGAAGCACAGAGUGUUUAAUUAAUGGAUAGACACCAUUAGAGAGACAGCUGGACCUGCAUCCAAAUGAGACCGGAUUCAAGGUACCACGAGAUAAAGAUCUGAAAGUGGAGAAGCGGAACUGCAAUUGGGUUCAUUUAUAAAAGAGGCUGUUAAAGGUCAACUGUGUUUUCUUGUGUGCGAGAUAAAGAGAUGCUAUUAAAAACAAUUGGAAGGUGCUCCCCACGUGUGUGAAAAUGCACAGAACUCACAAGUUACAGGAGGAAAGAAACUGCUUUGCAAAUUCCAGCAGCGAAAAUCCUAAAGGUCAAUAUUUCAAUGCUCAUUUGAGAAGCUUCAAUUUGCAGUAGAUGAUUAGCACAGACCCACAAAUGGCAAGGGUACAGAGGAUAAGAGACUGCAGAAUGCUUAGCCCUAAAGAUAAGAAAGCCAAGGACUCCACAUCAAAUUCACCAUGGGAAGACAUUUAUCACCUGCUAUGAUUGCUCAGGCUAGUCUGGAAUGGAGAAGGAAUUUGCUCAUCCACGGCUAUGGAAAAGAGGUAUUAGAAAAGAAGAACUACUGUCCCUGCUCCCAUUUCAUCGGGAGUAUCAGAAAUCCACGAAGGGAAGUCACUGCCCUCUGCAGAGCAUGUCCUAUUUGCUAUGUGUGUGGAAAUCAGACUUAAGGCAGA